rnacentral:rRNA from 1 species
AACGUAGGAGACAAACGUUAUCCGGAGUUACUGGGCGUAAAGGGCGUGCAGGCGGUCGACUAAGUCUGGCGUGAAAGCUCUCGGCUAAACCGGGAGAGGUCGUUGGAUACUGGUUGACUAGAGGACGGUAGAGGCGUGUGGAAUUCCGGGUGUAGUGGUGAAAUGCGUAGAGAUCCGGAGGAACACCAGUGGCGAAGGCGACACGCUGGGCCGUACCUGACGCUGAUGCGCGACAGCGUGGGGAGCAAACAGG